UACGAAGGGGGCUAGCGUUGUUCGGAAUUACUGGGCGUAAAGCGCACGUAGGCGGGUUUGUAAGUAGGGGGUGAAAUCCCAGGGCUCAACCCUGGAACUGCCUUCUAGACUGCAAGCCUGGAGGUCAGGAGAGGCGAGUGGAAUUCCGAGUGUAGAGGUGAAAUUCGUAGAUAUAGGAAGGAACACCAGUGGCGAAGGCGACCACCUGGACUGAUACUGACACUGAGGUGCGAAAGCGUGGGGAGCAAACAGG
rnacentral:rRNA from 1 species